UCAGUCGUGGGCCGCUCGCCCGCGUUAAACCAACUCUCCUCACUGACGUGAAAGCAACGUGAUUGGCGCCACUUUUCAAAUUCGAAAAUCCGCGUCACAAUCUUCAACCGUCUACGUGCAUCUAUCUACAAUCUUCUCUGGAAAACUCCACUGUGUUUCAAAUUUUCUUGAUACAACUCUCAAAGUGUUUCUUUCCCUUAUUGAAAUUGAUACCAGUUAAAAAACAAUCAUAACCUAAACUCGUACAAUUUGUGCACUAGACUACUUGCAAGGAAUUACUUAAACCGUGCUAUAGUAGUGACAAAGCGUUUCAGUGGUUGAGAACAUUUUGAGAUCAUAUCAACACUGUGCAUUAUAUAGAAUGAUAAGGAAGUUUAGAAAGCUUUGAUUGAUGCUGAACUUUUGAACACAAUCAAAAACUUUCUCCGUAUUACCGUUUCAGUUGUUCGGCUCAAGUGAGGCGAAGUUUAUUUCCGAAUACCGGCUAUCUUUCAAAAACCUAAAACCUGAUGAUAUCGUGCGGCAGCAGUAUGGGAGACGGCACCAACGAAGUGAACAACAACGGAGGGGCCAGCAAGUGCGGAAGCGGGGCGUGUCACGGGGGGGGCGUCGCCCCUCCGCCCCCCCGUCGCGUCCAGGUCACCGCCAAGAUUCUGUUUGGAUCAGUCAGCGCCAUCUCCACCAUGAAGCACACUGAAAAACUGCAGAGGAAGCGGUCUCAAUGAGGAGGAUAUUCAUGGAGACUAAGAACUAGUGCAGAGAAGUGCAUCUGGCUGCUAUCAAUCAUCAUCAACGCCGAAAGUUUACAAAGCAAGACAAAAUGUUCGUCAACAUCACCGAGCUAAAAUUAUUCACCAUCGUGAAACCGAAAGGUACAGUGAACCUUUAACGGGGAAUUCUUCAAUGAUUCCCAAAUAUCCGCCAGACCUGCCAGUGUUCAGUUGAAAUGUGGUUCUUCGACUCACAUAAAAUGGGCAGAAAAAGAAGAACAUCAACUCACAAAUGAGUAGGAUACAGUCUUGUAUAUAAGAUCUUCGAAUAUGUUUCACAAAAAUCAAGAAUAUGAACCCAUAUCAAUUCCCUAAUAUACAGUAGUGUGAUGUAGAAGGGUUACAAUCAAGAAAGCAUAAUGUGAUUAUGUUGAUAUUUGAAAAAAGUGUUGAAUCCGAUUGGAUGUGCCUUUCGUAACCAAUUCUAUAUUAUUUGAAUAUAGUCUGAAUAAGAUUUUUUCAUGGAAAAUGAUGUACCGUAGCCUACUACAAAUGGAAUAGAAUUUUGUAAAAAUUUGGAAUAGAUUUUUUUUAAUCAGAUCUUGUCUGCAGACCACAUAUAUUAUAAUAGUGAUGGUUAUUUCAACAAUCUAUAGUAGCCUACUUAUCAUUCCUCUCAAUACAGAAAUUGUUAACUUUAAUAGAAUAUCUGCAAAUAUUGAUGAUUCGUUAAAAAAUAUGAGCUGGGCUCUAGAAUAGAACCCAAAUGUAUAUUGUACUGUAACUUUGAUACGAUUGGAUCUGUUAAUACCCGAUAAUACAUUAGGAUGAAUAAGGCUGUGAUUAUAACCCUGAUAAACUCCUUUGCAUUGAAUAAAUAUUUCUUCAGCCCCACCGAACAAUAAUAAUUUUCAAGAUAAGACGUGAAAUCCUUGAGAAUAGAUAUAUUUUUGUAAAUAGAAGAAGCAGUAAUAUUAUGAUGAGACAUUCAAACGUAAUGGGUAUGACUGGUUUGUGUGAAACUAUUAUCCCAUAAUUUUGUUCAAUUUUAUCCAAAAAUAUAUGAUACAUUAGAAGAUUUUCCAAAUUGAAUGGAAAAUCAGACAGACUCAGAAGGAUGGAAGGAUUUGGAGGAUGGAAGAACGAGGGAGAUGAGGAAAUCCUGACAAAGGACACCCUGAGGAAAGUGAGCUGAAACGAAAUUCUAGCCAAAACUAUAAGAAUAAAAUCGUUUUUUAAUGCAGAGGGAUUAUUAGAAUGGAUACAAAAUGCAUUUACUUUUUGAAUUAAAAUCUUGACUCGAAACACUUGUUUCUUACUGAAGUAAUGAGAUUUUCUUAUAAGUGACAACUGUGUCUGACUGACUAACUGACUCAAUCACUAGCCGAUUGGCCAAUAACUUGACACCAUAACUCUGACUCUGACCAUUUAAUUAUUUGAAAAUUUGACAAUAGGUAAGACUGACUCAUCACUGACUAGUUGUUUGACAAUAUUACUCGUGAACACUUUACAAGGGCUGACUGACUGACUGGAUUGACUUACUGACUGACUGAAUGACUCACUGACUCACUGACUGGAGUGUCUGUCUGACUGACUGACUGUGUGUCUGACUGACUUACCAACUGACUGUGUGUCUGACUGACUGACUGACUGACUGUGUGUCUGACUGACUGACCAACUGACUAAACUCACUCAUAGAUUGACCAAUCACUAAACAUCAUAACUCUGACGACUCUGACCAUGACGUUAUUUGACAAUUUGACAAUAUAGUAUGACUGACUUAUCACUCAACAGUCGUUGUUUGACAAUAUUACUCGUGAAAAUUUAAAAAUAAUACUAUACGACUGACUAGACUUACACAAUACACAACUCACAAGUUAAUGUAGGUAUCUUAGUGACUGUUUUGAAGACGUGGAUAUUGUAUAAUAUUAGCUUGUAGAAGAAGUUAUAAUAUUCCUGUAAUGUGCAGUAGUGAAUAGUUUAAUAUGUAAUUUUAGAUAUCCUAUUGAAUUAUAUAGUAAAUAUAAUUCUAAUGUGUAUUAACUUAUAAUAAUUAAAUUAUAUUAAAGCUUUUCAAGUGGCAGCUCACUCAUAGGAUUGUAUACUUUUGGAUAUUUAUAAUUAAUUUGAGUAAGGUAUCCAAUUUUAUUAGGAUAUAAUAUAACAAUAAUUCAUCAUUAUUUUAAUUGAUAUGACACUCAUUUGCCUUCAAAUAUGUCUAUGGAGAUUUAAAAGUUUUUGAAUGCUUUUUUAUGCAACUAACAUCUUCAGUAUGAAGUUUUUUUUUCAUUAAUAAGUUAGGCCUACAUUAAUUCAAAAGUGCACAUUGCUGCUUGAGAGCCACAUUUUUCACUUAAUUCCAUACCAUUGUUUGCUACUAGAUUCACUGUUUUUCUUAUUUGCUUCUAAAAUUUUAUUUAUUCCCAUUUUUGAAUAAUGCUUCAUUCAAUAAACUAUUGUAAGUUAAGAGACUAAACUUUCACUGAAUGACUGACUGACUUUCACUGGCAACUACCCUAAACGACAGUAAACGUGACAGUAAAAAUGACAACUCACAGAACUUUAUGCUGGGUAUUUCUACUUGGAACUUUACAAAAAUGCAAGACAAGAUAAAAUCUCGAGACUUUAACAUUUUUGCGUUCAUACUUUUAGUCCUGCAAAAUUCUGAUUCCAAACAUCACACAUGAAAAUAUUGCAUUUUGUGGAUAUUGAAUUAAAGCAAUGACAUUUGACAGUAAUAAGAGGAAAUAAUAAUAACCAACUAGACUGACUGCAAACUGACUAGAAGACUACCCCUACUUUCAACUGAAAAAUAAAAGACAACUUGAUUCUCAACAAAUUAACGUUUUCGAUUUGACAAUAGAUUUGCAGAUAAACUUGCCUUACUUUUACUAAACAUGACCAUUUAUUAUUGUUUUAGACUAUCCUAAAAUUGCUAAAUACGACAGAAUUACUGGAUGAGAGGUUUGAAAAUUAGCCUAAAUGAUUGAAAAAUGAUACUGUACUUGAAACUUGUAUAAUGACUUGAAAAGUGAUGGUUGAAUGACGACAUUAAUAUUGACAAUUGACUUUUAACUUUCAUAUUGACAACGGACAACACAUUUCAGAUUGACAACUAUUUACUGAACAUUUAUUGAAAUGUUCAUCCAAUACCAUACGAACUAUACUCCCAUACUGAAAAAGGACCUGUUCUAGGGCAUAAACUCAUAUUAAUUGACAAAUCGUCAUACUGACUGACAUGGAACAACUGAAAGUCCAAUCUUCUACAUCUAUAGCAUACAUCUCUAUUGACUAACAAAAUUCAUAUUGACUGACAUAUUUCCAUAUUGAUUGACAUAUUGACUAUAAACAAUAUCUUCUUCCACUAGAAAUAGGCUACUACCGAAUCAUCCAGUCUUCUAAAGAAUAAAGGCCUACAAUACUUCAUUUUGACUGACAAAUUGUCACAUUAUUAAUAAAUCGACUAAAAGUAAGUUACUGAACCGACAAAACACUGCGCUUCUAUAUUGACUGACAAAUUUUUAUAUUGACUAUUACUACCAACCACGACUUUCACCAACACUUAUCCACCAGACUUCUAAAGCAUUCACUUCAUACUGACUUGACAAAUUUCCAGAUUGACUUUCAUAUUUACUGAUGAUAUAUUGACUCAUGGUUCUGACUUCAAUUGAAUGACUGAAGACUUAUAAAAUAGUCAUUCUCAGGUAACCGGUAACAAUUUUAGCACUUUUCGAUGACAUUAAAAAUUGGCAACGAAAAAUCUUAUAAAUGCACCAAUACUUGAUUGGCCCUUACAGGCCUCGAUGAUAACUCUCUUUUACUCUAAAUCACAAAAUGUAUAUGAAGCAGUAGAACCUAUAUAUUUGAACAUAUUAUAUAAUACUUGGAAAAGUGAAGUAUGAUGUUAAACGGGGUUAAGGAUAGGUUGACUCUAUUUUCUAUAAUGACUGCCUAGACAAACUGACAAGACAUGAGAAGUACAAAUUUGACUCACGUCACUCACAAGACAUUAGACAUAGGUGAUAGGAUAGACUUGUACAAUUAUGACUUUGACUUGACUUACUAUAACUUUCAAAACUAUAUAUUAUCCUAUUCUUUCAAAAUAUCUCCUGGAAUCUUUUUCGAGAGAUUCGCUUACAAAAACUUUAUUUGAAAAAUCUUUUCAAAAAGUAUAAGAUAUUACUAAUAUAAUGAGUUGAUUUUUCAAUGAAAAGUGCGAAAUCGCCUCUAUGUUGGCUGUUUGAAAGUUUAAGUUAUCAAAUUUCUUAGAUUUUCAUUAACUUUUUAGAUUAUAAAUGAUUGAGAGUAGAUCUAAUAAUAUAUAAAAUAAAUAAAGUAUAAUUUACAUAACUAACAUUGAGUGAAUAAAUGAAUGUUUCAUAUAAACAUAUAAAAUCGUAAUUUAUGAGAUGCCAAAGAUUAGUUUAGAGGGAAUGGAUGUUAUAAAUGACAUAAUGAUUUAGAGACUAUUUUAAAACUACUUGAAACCAACUUGGCAAUUGAAUAAUUAAUAUUUAAAUCCCCAAAACGAAAAAUUACAUAUUUGACUGACAACACCUAUACAGUACCACACGAUGACUCACAGACGAAUAAAACAUUGGAAUUGUGACUACUUUCACUAAACUAUACUAAAUAUAUGACAGACGUUUUACAACUCAAUGACGAUAACGACAUUCGAUGAAAAUUAAAACUUAAUGGGACAUAAAAUAUAACUAAAGACUUACUAUGAAAAAUGAUGAUCAAGAUGAUUAAUUCUAGAAGUGAAUGGCUUUUUAUUUUCUUAGAUAUUCCUUACGAAAGAAAGGUGGUGAAAUAUGUACCUAGAGAACAAGGUGAGUGAAUGGGAAGAGUGACGCAUCUGUUUUAAGGAGAGAGACUUUAGAAACUCUCACAUCGAGAAAUUGAGAAAGGAAACUUAUUACAGAAUUCAAGUCUUCUUAUGGAAAACACAUUAGUACAGCUCCCACAUACGGGUCUUCAAAAAAUAAAAUAGAAACGAAUAAUAGGCCCUGUAUACCAUUACAAUAUUGCGAUUCUGAGCACAUUUUUGAUCUCAUCAAAAGGUGGAAUGCAGCUAUAAAAAACUUCAUUUCUUCACAUUUUAUAUUUCAUUCAUGACUUCUUAGAAAGUUCUCAGUUUGGUUAAAUUAUCGUAAUGUAUGAAUGGGUGAUCAAUUUGUGUAAUAAUUUUCUUAUAUUUAGAGACCAUUUCAGUGUUAUUUGAGAUUUACAUUUAUAAAUAUUAUUAAAUAAAUUGAUAAUUAGUUUGUAUCAUAUAUUUUAAGGAUAUCUCACUUUUCUUGAUUGUAUGAUUUACGCAGAUGUGUUGAAGGAAAAAUGUAAAAUAAUAAGUUUGUCACUUGUUAAAUAUCUAUAUUCACUUAGAUUAAGAAAAUUGUUUUAAAAAUUAUCUUAUCACUAUUCAUGUUGUAAAUUACUCUUAGGAUGAAAGUAGCACCAUUACAUUUAUAUUGUUGAUUAGAAUAUGCAUUUUUAAUGUUAAGCAAUUUAUUUUGUUUAUAACUUUGUUGUAAUGAGUUCAGAAAAUUUCUCUAUCAAAUGGACAUACCGUAAUGAAAAUGACGACUGUGAAACUUGAUUCCUGCAUUUGUUAUUAUUCCUAGGCACUAGAACCAUGGGAAUUUCAUAAUAUGCUAUUAUUGUUUCAUACAAAAUUUUAACGUUGACUGACCACUUUUAAAAGAUAAUAAAAUAUUGACUAAAAUCACCGUAGGUACUGAGAUUUCAAUGUACAGAACAUUUUGACAACAAUGUUACACAUUUUUAUUGGAAGAUUUAUGUUUUCACUCAAGUUAAUUUUAUCUGAAUUCAUUUUCAGGCAGAUUGAUCAACUUUAAUCAUUUUGUUCAUUCAAAUUGAAUCGACUAUACUAUUGUUAGGUACUGACUUUUUACCCGACUUGUUUACUUAUUAAUACUACCGUACGGUAUUGGUUUGCUUGUUUACUGACUACGUACUUGAAUUUUUACCAACUACUGUUGACUACCUUUAACUUGUUGGAUAUUGAAAAUUGUUUACUGACUAAUGACUAUAUUGUUUUACUUGACUGACUUGUUUACUUGACUCUACUGACUUAUUUACUUGACUUUACUGACUUAUUUACUUGAAUUGUUUACUGAGUAUAACUUGACAGCAUUCAAAUUUCUAUUAUUUUUGAAAAUGCAUGACAGCAUAUUGUAACAUUUUUAUUUAUUUAUUUUUAUUUAAUAAAAAUAUCGUUGUUUUCUAAAUGACUACUACGGACGUUAAUUUUCAACUACCUGGACUCUCAUUAUUAUCACAUCUACAAAAUAACUUUAACCUAUAUACCUACUCUCACCUACCUACCUACCUACUGACUGACUAUUUUCUAAUUCUUGACAAUAUAGACUGUAUUAUUUAUAUUUUUAGUAGAUACCGCACAUCAAACGACAUAUAAAAGACAUUUACUUUGACAUUGAUCUUAGGUUUCACCUCUUCACUGUGGAUAUGAGAGACUAUCGGAAAUAGAUACAUAUAUUUCGAACUACUCUAUAUAGAGUCUAUAGAUAUAUAAAUAAAAUAAUAGUCUAUUCUGUAAUGACUCAAGGAAAACCUACUGAACGGCUAAUCCUAAAAAAACUACAAUCUACAAUAAGGUACCGUACCCACCUAGCCUGGGUAUAAUUAUAUUGUCUUUAUUCCUCUAGAAAUGAGCUAAAGAUGGAAAACAAAGAGUUCAUAUCAACAAUAGUUGACUAACAAGCUUUCAUUCUUCCUUGAUCUUAUUUGUAGUAAACUGGUAAAAGAGAAAAUUAUUAUUAUUGAGGAGAAAUAUAAUAAUAUGAUUUAUUUAACAAAAUAGGUACCGUAGCAUUGAUAUAAAUAUAAAUAUAGUCAAAUUUUCCAACCCUAACGGAAUUUCAAACACGAGCCGUGAUAGGCUCUUUUAGAGCCUAUAAUGCUAUUGGAAAAAUUUCUUAAGAGGUAAAAACCUGAUAUACUGGUGUAUAUCGUAUAUAUAAAAACACCUAAACACGCUGUGGUGGUAAUCUUUUAUUUGCACAGAAUGUUUUUAUUUCAUAAUGGAGAAAUUCUGCAAUAUAUCUGAAUACAGUGUUCGAUUUUCUCUUAGGUUUUCUAUGUAGUAUCGGUCAAUUUUUCAUAUUGUUUUAAAAACAGUUACGAGUAGGUAUGAGCUUCCCUAUCCAAUCCAUUGGUUUGUAAAUCAUAAUCAAGACAUAGGCCCACUCAAAUUUCCUUUUAGAAUAAAUUAGAAAAUGUGUUUAUACUUGCCCGCUCAUCUCGUUAAUGUGAGUAGAGGAAAAAUGUAUUGUUCACAUCACUCUUGAAACUAAAAAAAACACUCAACUUUAGGUAUCUGCUGCACCUGAGUUGUAUUCCAUGUACCUAUUCCUCCUUGUUCUGAAAUUCCAGUUGAAUCUACAUUUCUGGAGUUGAUUCAUCUUGGUUGAUAACAAUAAGAGUAUUUACAAUACAUUAUGGCAGGCCUACUGUAUCUUUUUCACAUCAUUUCGUGUAUACUAUUUUCCAUGAAAGUUUUCAAAUUGACGAUGUCAGAAAUGUCCAAAGUAGAACCAACAUUAACAUAAUGGCUCCAUAUUCUAAGAUUAGUAUAGACCAUACCAAACAUUUUAUUUUCUGUUUAUUAUAAAUAAUAUUGAAUCAAGAAUAAUAAUAUAUUAAAAUGCAAUUAUUCUUGUGACAAAAUGGAGAAACAAGAAAUCUCAAGCCUUGAAACAUUACCAUACGCUACAAAAUCAUUUUUUUUCUAGCAGCUCUUUUUUCCAUAAAUUUUUUUUAAUUCUUGUCAUUCAAUAGAAACAGAUAAUAAUCAACGUUUAAAAUAUAAUUUCAUAAAAAAUCAAUAAAUACCUAUAUUCCUCAUUUGUUGUGAUAAUUGAACAAUUACCCAAUUUUUGUGUUCUCAUGCAAUGUAUAAUGUAAAUAUACCUUAAUUUAGAUAAAUAGGUUGAUAAUUCAAUAUUAUUUGAAUAAAAGUAUUUCAUAUUUCGAUUAAA